rnacentral:lncRNA from 1 species
UCACAGGCCACCAUUGACAUACACGGGGGCGGCACGUCUGCCCAGGCCGCGACCAGCCGGCCACGGGCUAUCGGCUCCCGGAGCCCUAAUGGGCAGUCGCCACCCGCCUAGGCCCUGUCCCCAGCGGUGGGCUGAGACCACUGUCAUCGAGCACACACUCAGAGGGAGGGAGGGGCUUUCAGUGGGAGACUUUGAUAAGAUUUGGCGAGAACACUGUGAAGAUGCAGAAACACUUUGUGAAUAUGCUGUUGCAAUGAAAAAUUUGGCAGAUAAUCACUGGGCAAAAACUUGCGAGGGUGAAGGUCGCAUUGAAUGGUGUUGUAGUGUAUGCAGAGAGUAUUUCCAAAAUGGUGGGAAGAGAAAAGCACUUGAGAAAGAUGAAAAACGAGCUGUCCUCGCCACUAAGACCACUCCAGC